rnacentral:misc_RNA from 1 species
GAAAUGCGAUAAGUAAUGUGAAUUGCAGAAUUCAGUGAAUCAUCGAAUCUUUGAACGCACAUUGCGCCCGCCAGUAUUCUGGCGGGCAUGCCUGUUCGAGCGUCAUUUCAACCAUCAAGCCCCCGGCUUGUGUUGGGGACCUGCGGCUGCCCGCAGGCCCUGAAAAACAGUGGCGGGCUCGCUGUCACACCGAGCGUAGUAGCAUACAUUCUCGCUCAGGGCGUGCUGCGGGUUCCGGCCGUUAAACGACCUUAAUAACCCAAGGUUGACCUCGGAUCAGGUAGGAAGACCCGCUGAACUUAAGC